AAACAGUGAACCGUAAUCCCCAACUCUGCAGGUAGCUAGCUAAACAGUGAACCGUAAUCCCAACUCAUGACGUUACUACUCUGCAGGUAGCUAGCUAAACAGUGAACCGUAAUCCCAACUCAUGACGUCGCUCUGGAUAAGAGCGUCUGCUAAAUGACUUAAAUGUAAUGUAAUGUUACUACUCUGCAGGUAGCUAGCUUAACAGUGAACCGUAAUCCCAACUCAUGACGUUACUACUCUGCAGGUAGCUAGCUAAACAGUGAACCGUAAUCCCCAACUCAUGACGUUACUACUCUGCAGGUAGCUAGCUUAACAGUGAACCAUAAUCCCCAACUCAUGACGUUACUACUCUGCAGGUAGCUAGCUUAACAGUGAACCAUAAUCCCCAACUCAUGGCGUUACUACUCUGCAGGUAGCUAGCGAACAUCAGGCUGUAACUAGCAAUGCUAAUGGAUCUGAGAUACGAAAACUAUUAGUACACAGAUCAAACACGUAACGUGAGCUAGCUAACAGUACGCUUUAACUUGAAAUGAAAAGGACAUUCUGACAAUUAUUAUCUGAAUGUCGCUAGCUAUACUCUUACCUUUAUACAUGGAUGAACGUUUCUCCCUCUGUCACGAGUUCCAUGGUUGCCCUACAACGUUAACCGGAGACAGGUUCUCUUUUCGUCUCAGUGUCCGUAUUUGCAAUAGCGCCUGCAUUUUCCAUCCAUCUCCUUAGCUAUCAUACUCUACAUUUUAUUCAUGUUUCUUUAGACCGGUCUAAAAUAAAGGAUUUAUUGUGAUGGUGUAGGUAGACUAUAUUACAUGGAUUUAUUGUGAUGGUGUAGACUAUAUUACAUGGAUUUAUUGUGAUGGUGUAGACUAUAUUACAUGGAUUUAUUGUGAUGGUGUAGACUAUAUUACAUGGAUUUAUUGUGGUGGUGUAGGUAGACUAUAUUACAUGGAUUUAUUGUGAUGGUGUAGGUAGGCUAUAUUACAUGGAUUUAUUGUGAUGGUGUAGGUAGACUAUAUUACAUGGAUUUAUUGUGGUGGUGUAGGUAGACUAUAUUACAUGGAUUUAUUGUGAUGGUGUAGGUAGACUAUAUUACAUGGAUUUAUUGUGGUGGUGUAGGUAGACUAUAUUACAUGGAUUUAUUGUGAUGGUGUAGGUAGGCUAUAUUACAUGGAUUUAUUGUGAUGGUGUAGGUAGACUAUAUUACAUGGAUUUAUUGUGAUGGUGUAGGUAGGCUAUAUUACAUGGAUUUAUUGUGAUGGUGUAGGUAGGCUAUAUUACAUGGAUUUAUUGUGAUGGUGUAGGUAGACUAUAUUACAUGGAUUUAUUAAUGUUCCAGAUCAUCUCAAGCUCUGUCAGGAUGGAUGGGGAGCGUCUCUGCACAGCUAUUUUCAGGUAUCUCCAAAGACUUUUGAUCGGGUUCAAGUCCGGACUCUGGCUGUGUGUGUGGACAUUCAGAGACUUCAAAUCAUAUGUUAUUUUUAAAAAUGCGCGGCAGGUAGCCUAGUGGUUAAGGCAUUGGGCCAGUAACCGAAAGGUUUCUGGAUCGAAUCCCUGAGCUGACAAAGUAAAAAUCUGUCUUUCUGCCCUUGAACCAAGGCAGGUAAACCACUGUUCCCCAUUAGGCCGUUAAUGUAAAAAAUAAUUUGUUCUUAACCGACUUGGCUAGUUAAUUAAAGGUUAAAGUUAAUUUUGUUUUAAAUAUGUGGUCUAGAAAUUCUUACUUAACCAUAAAUGGAGGAUUGCAAUGGAAAAGAGGUUUCAGAAUAACAGCACUUCCUGGUUGGAUUGUCCUCAGGUUUUCGCCUGCGGUAUCAGUUCUGUUAUACUCACAGACAAUAUUUUGACAGUUUUGGACACUUUAGAGUUUUCUAUCCUAAUUUGCCAAUUAUAUGCAUAAUCUAACUUCUGGGCCUGAGAAAUAGGCUGUUUACUAUGGGCACGUUUUUCAUCCAAACAUCAAAAUACUGCCCCCUAGUGUCAAGAGGUUUUAACCAACAAUGUAGUUAAGAAAAAUAACUUAUGUAAGUAUUUACUAAAAUAAACUGAAGUACAAGUGGCUUCCAUCUGGCCCCUACCAUAAAGACCUGAUUUAAUGGAGUGCUAUAGAGAUGGUUGUCCUUCUGGAAGGUUCUCCCAUCUCCACAGAGGAACUCAGGCGUUCUGUCAGUGACCAUCAGGUUCUUGGUCACCUCCCUGACCAAGGCACUUCUCCCCCGAUUGCUCAGUUCGGGCGGGCAGCCAGCUCUGAGCGUCUUGGUGGUUCCAAACUUCUUCCAUUUCAGAAUAAUGGAGGCCACUGUUCUUGGGGACCUUCAAUGCUGCAGAAAUGUUUUGGUACCCUUCCCCAGAUCUGUGCCUCGACACAAUCCUGUCUCAGAGCUCUAUGGAUAAUUCCUUCAACCUCAUGGCUUGGUUUUUGCUCUGAUGUGCUGUCAAGUAUGAGACUUUAUAUAGACAGGUUUGUGCCUUUCCAAAUCAUGUCCAAUCAAGUUGUAGAAACAUCUCAAGGAUGAUCAAUGGAAACAGGAUGCACCUGAACUCAAUUUAGUCUCUCAGCAAAGGGUCUGAAUACUUAUGUCCCUUUUUUAAAUACAUUUUCAAACAUUUCUAAACCUGUUCUUGCUUUGUUAUUAUGGGGUAUUGUGUGUAGAUGAUGAGAAUCAUUUAAUCUGUUUUAGAAUAAGGUUGUCGCAUAACGAAAUGUUGGAAAAUUGAAGGGGUCUGAAAACCAGCUAGAAAGUUAAUGGAAGUGUAACUCAUUUUAAAUUCCUUAUAUUAACCAGACCGCACCAUUUUGUUUUUAUUUACAGUUGUCCAGGGGCACAGUAACACUCAGACAUCGUUUACAAAGUGUGUUUAGUGAGUCCUCCAGAUCAGAGGCAGUAGGGAUGACCAGGGAUGUUCUCUGUUUAGUGAGUCCUCCAGAUCAGAGACAGCAGGGAUGUUCUCUGUUUAGUGAAUCCUCCAGAUCAGAGGCAGUAGGGAUGACCAGGGAUGUUCUCUGUUUAGUGAAUCCUCCAGAUCAGAGGCAGUAGGGAUGACCAGGGAUGUUCUGUUUAGUGAGUCCUCCAGAUCAGAGCCAGUAGGGAUGACCAGGGAUGUUCUGUUUAGUGAGUCCUCCAGAUCAGAGGCAGUAGGGAUGGCCAGGGAUGUUCUCUUGAAGUGUGUGAAAUUAGACCGUUUUCCUGUCCUGCUAAGCAUUCAGUGUAGCGAGUGCUUUUGGGGUCAUGGAAUAAUGUAUGGCCUAAAAUAUGGCGCGU